UACGUAGGGUGCAAGCGUUGUCCGGAAUUAUUGGGCGUAAAGAGCUCGUAGGCGGUUUGUCGCGUCUGCUGUGAAAACCCGAGGCUCAACCUCGGGCCUGCAGUGGGUACGGGCAGACUAGAGUGCGGUAGGGGAGAUUGGAAUUCCUGGUGUAGCGGUGGAAUGCGCAGAUAUCAGGAGGAACACCAAUGGCGAAGGCAGAUCUCUGGGCCGAUACUGACGCUGAGGAGCGAAAGCGUGGGGAGCAAACAGG
rnacentral:rRNA from 1 species